UAAGGUCUGACCUGCCCACUGAAAUUAUUUUAAAUGGCCGCAGUAAUUUGACUGUGCAAAGGUAGCAUAAUCAUUAGUUUUUUAAUUAAAAGCUUGUAUGAAGGGUUGGACGAGAUAAAAUCUGUCUCUAUUUAAUUUAUUAUAAAAUUUAAUUUUUAAGUUAAAAAGCUUAAAUUUAUUUAAAAGACGAGAAGACCCUAUAGAUCUUUAUAGUUUUGAUUUUGAAUUUAAUUAAUAAAUUUUUAGGAUUUAUGAUUUAAACUAUUUUAUUGGGGUAAUAGAAAGAUUAAAAUAAUUCUUUUUUUCUUUAAACAUUUAUUUAUGUUUUUAAUGAUCCAAUUUUAUUGAUUAUAAGAUAAAGUUACCUUAGGGAUAACAGCGUAAUUUUUUUAGAGAGUUCUUAUCGAUAAAAAAGUUUGCGACCUCGAUGUUGGAUUAAAGAUUAGUUUAGGUGUAGAAGUUUAAAUUUUUGGUCUGUUCGACCAUUAAAUCUUUACAUGAUCUGAGUUCAGACCGGCGUAAGCCAGGUCGGUUUCUAUCUUUAAUAAUUUUAAAAUAUUUUAGUACGAAAGGACCAAAUAUUUAAUAUAUUUAUAUUUAAUUUUUUGAAUAUUAUU
rnacentral:rRNA from 1 species